GUCCGAGUUGCCGAGCUGGAAGCCUUUAGAUUUGACCCAGAAUUUGAAUUUGGCAUUAUCCGUGGAGCUCGACUCGGAGCCGUUCAGGAGCUGGACGAUCCGGUCGUAUUUUUUACGGGUCACCGUCUUGGUUUUUCCAGAGUCCCCGAGGCAAAACGGGUCUGGUGGAGGCUCCUCUUAUCCUUCCACAGUACGUGAUCAGUCUCUUUAAUAAUUGUGCAAGGCAGGACUAUCCCACUGGCUCCAGCAGCGUCUUACCCGGAGAGGGUUCGGUUGGAUAAAUAAUUAAAAUCCUAUCCCUCAGCUUAGCGAAGAGAAAAGAAAAUAUUGACUCGGAUCCUUCUUCUUUUCCGUACAUCAGCUGCACCCAGAUUCACCCUGGAUAGUGCAGGUGAAGAAAAGAAUAAAGAAAAAAAAAAAAAGGGAAAAAGAAGAGAAAAAGCCCACCCUCCUUCGCCCCGGCAGCCCUUGGCUGUCUUCUCCGAAGGCUUUCUGGGUUUUCUGUCUCUGUCCUGGCGGGCUGUGCCUCUCCCCAAAGCCGCCUCGCCGCGCAGGAUGGAGGAAGCACUGAAGGGCACACUGGUCUCUUUGCUCCCCCUUUAUUCCAAGGCUGGGCGGCUUUGCUUCAGAAAUCCCCGCUCCGGGCAUGAAGGUACUGGAAAGAAAGUUCUUACCUGCUAUUUUCUAAGCCUAAUGCAUCCAAUCCACGUUUAAAGUACGUAUUUUUUAAUUAAAAAAAAAUGGUCUGUGACCAUUUCACUUCCUCAUAUUGAGUCCCACUGAAUUUUAAUAUGCCCUUUUAGGAAUUUUCCUCUAUUUAUUUACUUAGCAAUCCCAGCCGACGAAGGAACAAAAAAAAAAAAAAAAAAAAAAGGAAAGAAAGAAAAGCCAGAUAUAUACAAGAUAGGCUCGGAUAUUGGACCAAAGGAGAGAUCAGUCCCAGGAGGAUGUUGGUACAGGAAAGGAGGCGGCUCUCGUUGCUCUGCCAGUGUAAUGAUGGUGCUCACACAUGUAGGACUCCUCGGGUGCGGGGUAUCCUUUGGUCUCUGGGCUAAACUGGCUACAAGGCAUUCAAAAUUAAAUAUAAAGGAAGACAACACUGGACCUCUAUGAACAGGAUCUCUCUAUUCCUGAUCACCUUUCACUGAGGAGUAUUAAAUAAAAAGGAAAAAAUCUACUUUAAAGCAGGCAGAGAUUUUUUUUUCAGUACAUGUCCAAGAUCUUCCCAGCCACUGCAUCAAACUGUACUGUCUAAACACAGCAGAGUGUCUGUCUCUGAACAGUGCUCAAUGCAAAUGUUACUUGACCUAGAAAAUUACUGCUCAUGAGGAAAGGAGAACCCUUUCGACAUUUUGAUGGUAAGUCAUGGAGACCAACUAUACAGAGAACUGUAAAUAAACAUUGACUUCAAAGUGUAGCUCUGGGCAGUUCUUUAUAGUUCAUCUGAAGCCAUUACAACAUUCAUAGCUAUAUAAAAGAGCCAAGAUAGAGGAGGGAGUGUCCUUUGUUACAGGUGGAAAAAAAUGAAUAUAACAGUUUUUGUAAUCGAAGAGGUUAGUUACUUUUACCUGCAAACUUUGUGUCUUUGAACUGCCACAGCUACAAUGCUGCCACUCUAUCUCCAAAAACAUUAUUGUUAGUAGGACUGUUUUUACAUAAAGAACAGAAUACAUGAGAAAUAAAUCAAAAGCAAUGAUCAUAUCUAGUGAAAUGUGCACUUUAAAGCAUAUUGAGAAAAUAUUUGUUUGAUAUUCUCACAGUUUUGCUUCUUUUUUUUUUUAUUAAAUUAGAUUGUAUAAAAAAUAAUGCCAUUUCUCUCUCCAGUAGGUCUGCAUGAAAACAGCAGUCAAAAAAUGAGCUUAAAGAAUCCACGGGUUGAACUAUUCAUGUCAGUUUAUUACUUAACAGAAUAUAUCCUUUUAUGAAUUUUAUCCAUGAUCAAGUUGAAUCCAUUUGCUAUAAUCAUGCACCAUCCCUUUGUGAAGAAGAACGAACCCAUAACGGUUUUUUUAACUUCAUAUCAAAAUAUAAUAAAGACAAUAUAUAAAAAAACCCAAUCUCUCAUUUUAACUGAACAAAAAUAAGGGAAGAGGAGCUAGAUACUGGGUAUCACUUUAAUUUUUCAUGAAAGUUAGGUGACAUCAACGCUCAAACAGAAAGCAAAACUAAUCCCUUCCCACCUUCCUUCUGAAGCCCAAAACAGUCACUCAUUUACUUAAUGACUGUAAUGUAGAGCUACACUUGGACUAGCAUGUUAAACACCUGAACAAGAGUCAGCUUGCACAGAGAAUGAAUGAUUCAGAUAUCAGUGAUCUGACUACUGCUGAUGUGCAUUAACAGCAGAGAUUAGUCAGUCAGCUGUCUGCAAGUUUCGGGUGGCAAAAUGAGCAAUAAGUGGUGAUGCAUUGUAAGGCAUUAGAGAUUUUUGGAGGAUGAGGGAGAAGGAGGGAAAAUUGCUGCUAUCCACAGUAUGAUUUAACAAGUAAUGGCGACUUGGGAAGAAUAAAAAGAAGACACUCAGAUCCUCACGUAUUUGCAAUAUUUGAUCAAUUAGGUGAUUAGAAAGUGAGCCCAGGUCAGGGUGGCAUUGGUGAGAUUAUACUUUUGAACUCACGUUCUGCAGAAUUUUGAUCAGGACAUACACAACAACCUGACUUCUUGUAUUUCUCUUGUUGAAUUUUUUUUUGUAGUGAUCCUAAACAUUUAGUUAGAAAUUUUGCUAGUAGCAAGGAACAACUGUCCGUUUGAGAGGGGUGCUCAAUGCAGUGAGCACAGUCUGGACAUUCAAGAUAAACUCUCUCAGAACCCUGCAGUUAGUGGAAAAAACCCAUUGCUGCAGGCCAAUACUGACACAUCCCUGCUAGGCUGGGCUCUGGCACUGCCAACAUACAAAUGUUUCACACUUAACUUUUAAAAACAGCUUCUUAUAUGGGAAUUUUGCAAUCAAACCCCCUCACCCCAGAAGCCUGCUCCAGUUUCUAAUGUGAAUCACUGUUGCUAGACAAACCUACACUUCAGGUUUAUUGAUACUGUGUGAGAAGUGUACUGGGCAUAAGGGAUUUACCUAUUCUGAGACCUCCACCCCCACUGUAAUACCUGUUUUGGGAACUGGAUUGCUGCUAGCAAAUAUGGGUAAAAAUAAUUUAUUGUACAACAAAAUUUCUCAAGGGAAUGCUAUGUCUGGCUGCUUUACAUAGGCUCUGAAAAAUCAUUUUGAAAUGACACAGUGAUAAAAUGUAAAAAUCACAUUUAGCUUGCACCUGAAGUCUAAACAUAGGUCCAAAGCUAAGGUCACGCCUAACAGGAGGCACUGCCAUGUCCCUGAGGCAUUGGGAUGGCCGAAGCUACCUGCUCUUAGAAGUAGCUUCUAAGAGCCCACAGUGGGAUAACUGACUUCGUCUCCUCAUCAUGAGUCUUUUGACAUGAUGGAAUGAUAUGGACAACUUCUCCAGACUUUUGAAUAAAUGACAUCUUGCCUGAAAUAUCGGCAUGUACUCUUCAGAGGUCUUGCUGUGAAGGAGGGAGGUUUUAAUGAGUGGGCAGCAUCAAGUCAGGCCACUUUCUCCUGGCUUUUUUCUAAUUGCUGCCAGCCUCAACUAGAGAUGGGUGUAAUGAACCUGGUGCUGGAGGACUUCGUGGCCUGGUCCACCCCUGCAGCUUCCCAGCAGAACAGGCCAGAGAGGCACAGAUGCACCUUCUUGGAGGGGACAGGGAGGAAGAUCACACUCUGCCACCCACAACCUGCUGGAAGACCCACUGCAGAGCGGGCAGGCUGCAGCCACUCCCACUCCCAAGGCCAGUGACAUUGUCAUUCCCUGCCCCAAGCCUGGUGAAGUGCUAACACAGCAUUUUCCAACCCAGAGAUCAGGCCCUCUGAAGACCAGGCACAUCUGGAAAGAUGCUCAACAGCAGUGCAGAAGAGCAGGGAGUGAGAAGAGACCUCUGCUGCAGUUCCCUGCUUUGAAGGGGCAGAGGUGGGACUGGGGGAGAAGCAGCAGAUGGGAAGUGCCCAGCCACUGCAUGCUUCACCCUUCCCAUCCCCUUGUCCCAUGCUUCUGCUUUUUGCUACUUCUCUACUUGUUGUUUUUUUUCAGUACACUUCCAAGUAUUUGUUUUGUGAAUAACAACAGAGGUACAGUUAUAUUUAUCAGCAGAGGUGAUUACUUUAGAAGCCCAAACUGAGCACUGAAAACUUAAAAAGCUUUAAUUUGCCCAUUCCUAUAGAUAACCAUUUUCAAAGAAAUUACCUCCUUGAAAGCAACAGCUUCUUUGUGACAAUAAUGCUGUCGUGUAGGAGGGCACGUUUACAACUCAGACACAAGUGGAAACAUUUCUUGUACUGUUCAAACCAAAACACAAUCACAGUUUUUAAGAAGGAAAAAGCCACUUUCUCCUCUCAUCCAUUAUUCUGUAUAACACAAGUCACAUAAUUUCAUCUGUUUUCUUAGUAUCCUGCAACUCUCAAAGUAUGUUGUGCUUAGGAAGAUGGAUAUUUUCCAGACAUUUGAAAAAAAAAACCACCUCAUCUGGUCACGUUAGAUGGGGCUUUCAGAUGACAGGUUUAGCCUCUACCUGUAAUUAAUCAGCUGUCUCCCACCUGAUGAGAUAAGGCUAACAAGCAGCUUACUUAAUGGAGGGAGCCUGCUGUGGCUGAAGAGACUGGGUCAUGUUAAGGAUAAGGUUCUGUUAUGCAAAACUGGGUGAUCUGCCUGCUAUCUAGGUGAUGGUAGAGAGCUGAAAGGAGUCAGGUGGUAAGAUUUGGCUUACCUAUUUUACCUGGCUUUGAGUUAUGCUCUUGACUGAUUUAGUCCCUUUGGGAAGAGUCUUGGAAAGCACUGCCUGUACUCAAUUCAGCUAGCUGGUCUGCCAGCCUGCUCAAGGGAAACGGAGGACUGAGGAGAUGCUUGUGAGUGGAAAAUGUUCAUCUGAUGCAAAGGUUAUUUUACUACAGUAAUCCAUGCUGACCUGUGUGAGAGAUUUGAUUGUGGUGCAUGUCCAUUGGCUUUUAACAGCAAUUGUGCGAUUUCGUACAGUAUUUUAUCUAUAUUUCUGUCCUUGAGCUAUGUUGCAACUGUAAAUGCUAAUGAGGAAUGUGGAGAGUUUCCCACCACACAAUGCAGAGCUCUGUAGAGGAUGGUCAAGGCCUAAAAAAUUAGACAGCAUGUUAACCUCUUCUACAGGAGUUCUUUUAAUUCACUAGUGAAAGCAUCUGUACCAUAAGGGACUUCAGAUCUUGCUAGAGCUUCCCUUAAAGCCUUGCAGUACCAGGUGCUGCACACAAAUUGAUUUGGUAACUCCCUCUAACCAAGUUCUUACCAUCUGUCAUUGCAGUGCUCAAAUGGGUCUCUCGAUCUGGCAGUACGAAUGCUCAGAUCUCAGAGAGACUUAUGCAGGAACACUGCCCUAUUUGUAGUCCAGGCAAAGAUCCAAAAAAAAAAAAAAAAAAAAAGAUCUGGGUACCAGAGUGUAAAUCAGGCAGAACUUAAAAGGCACAAAACCAGUUUGUCAUCUUUUACUUUUAUUUGCCAUCAAAACCCUACUGUGGUGUGUAUGGGUAUAGUACUGUGGUUCUCUUUCAGUUAACGGCUCAAAAACGCCUGGAGGCCAGCUCCCUUCCCUGUGAAUGAGUGCCUGCACUACACUAGAUGGCACUGCUUAAUACUCACGUUUUUGUCUUGUCUCUGCUAUGACGGUUCCCUGGAUUUGGAGCAUCCUGUAGCUGCAACUUCAGACAGUGCUCUGUGUUGCUGGUGAUGGGAUGGACUGCAAGGAGGUACUGGGAGCAGUCGUGUAACAAGGUAGUAGCAACAGUCAUCAGAAUCACAUUCUGAGUUCAUCUCUUUACCCUAAUAAAUAGGUAAAGCAGAGUCUUUUAGAGAUUACACACAAAUUAAGACUGAAUUCUGAUGUUAUCUUUUACUCUUGCUAACAUCCCUCAUCUCCUUCCUUUCAUGACUGGAAUAAAAAGCAUGGGUAAAAUUCCUGCAGACAUCAGGCCUCUUAGAAAGCAGGAAAUCGGAGUGAUAAUACAACUGUUAGAUACUGAUCAAUAAAUAUCGGGAGAGGACAAGCUGUAAAGUAACAAGUCUGCUCUCAUCAGUAGCCUGUAGAUUUGGCAGUAAACAAAUGUGUUUGUUUUCAGAAUAGUGUUCAGCUGAUUCAGAAAUCUGAUUCUUGCAAGGAGGGGCUGAACAACGUUUAGGAUUGCUGUUGAACAAUACUAUGUUGUGCCCUUCACUCACUAUUAAAUUGCUGAAUACACCUAAAAUGUGAAAGCAUCAAGUCCCACCAGUAUUUUAUGCGCUUUUUGAAAGAUGAUGCAUGCUUACAGAAGUCAAGCAUCAAAUGUCACGACUAAUGUAUGGCUGUUUCAUAACUUCAAAAUGUGUUGUGAAAGGAGCUACUAGUUGAAGUACUGACUUCCUCCAAGAGUAAGCAGAGAGGUAAGUGCUCUUAACCUAAGUUAGAUACUUUGAAGUCAGCUGGGCCUAGAAUAUUACAAACUGACUAAAGUUUUAGUAGAAUACAACAGUUACUUCUGAAGGUGGGUAAAGUUCUGGAAAAGGGUAAAGGGGAUAGGUCUCUCGGGAAAAAGAUGGGAAAAGCAGAGGAUUUUGGUCAUUGUAGGUUGGCCAGUCUGAUCCAGUUCCCAGAAGGAGAACACAUAAAAAGACUGGCUAAGUAACAGGGGGAAUGGCAAAGAAAUAAGUAACAGCCUGUGGAUAUGCCACCUUACUUUCUCUUACACUGAAAUGGAUCUUUUAGUUGAUUUGAAGCAUCAGGGACAUCUUGGCUGUUUUUAUGAUGAUUCGUUUGGUUUCUGACUUGGACGGUGGAAGUGGGAAUUAAAUCUGAAGAUUACUGCAGGUGGGAGGGCAUGCAAAUGCACACAAGGGUUACUUAGAAUUUAAAAGAUCUGGAAAAAUGGAUUAAAAAUACUGGGUGAGAUUCAAUAAAGAUAAAUAAGAUGCAAUAGUUUGUUAGUUGAUUAUUCCUCCCCAAUAGAGGAUGAAAAAUAAAUGGUUAGGUUGCAUUUUUUCAGAAAAGGGUCUUGGGAGUAUAUUAAUCAUAAAUCAUAGCUGUGCUCUUGCCAGCACACCCCCUGUGUCUCAUAAGAGUGGGAGAUACAGACAGAAAUAUAGAUUGCAAGACACGGGGAAAGAUCCUUUUUCCACCCAUCAUUGAUCAAGCCUCAGCUGGAGAACUGUGACUGGUUUUGGAUAUUAUACUUGAAGAGCAAUGUGGCACACUUGGAGAGCAUCCAGAGAAGAAUAACAUGUUCUCUUUAGUAAAGAACAUAACUUACAAAUAAAUUAUUUCUAAAAAAACUGCCUAGAUUAGGAAAGAAAAAUCUGGGAGUGGAAAAAAAAGAAUUAUCAAAAUUUUCAAGAAUAUAGAUGCUGUUUCAGAGAGGAAGAGGCUCUCUCCAAACAUGGUGAAUAAGAGCUAUGGCUUUAAAUUUGUUCAAGGAAUAUUGGGGUUUGACAUGAAAAAAUCUUGCAGAUAUUGUUAUUCCUGUCUUGAAACAGAGAGAGGGACUAGGUAAUCCCUUUCUGCCCUGUUUUUCUGUCAUGAUAGUAAUUUCAUAGUAAUUAAUACUAACAAUUUCAUUUUUAAGGAUACAGCUGUGCCACUCCAGAUCCUGCAUCUGGUAAGCUGGCAAGGCUGAUGCUGUAUUUUUAGACCCUAACCUUGAAUUGUAUUGGUGUUUAAACAAUGUUCUCUUUUAUUUUCCUUUCGGUCACGCUGAAUUGCUCAUCUGAAAUAAAAAACAUGGAUGUGACUAUGUUUCCAAGACUUCCCCACUGAAUGUUAUACAUACUUCUUUUUUUACACUCGUAACCCAGAUUACAAAAUAUAGUAAAAGGAAGAAAAUAAUAAUAUUUCAAAUAUGAUCAUUUAUAUCUUGGGGUUUUGUCCCAGUGGCUCAGUAAGUAGUAGGUUUAGACUAAGCCUUUUAGCAUGGCUACAAACCAAGCCCUAUAUAUAUAUAUAUAUAGGGAGGGGACCUUGUGGGUCCCUUCCAAUUCAGAAUGUUCUGUGAUUUUGUGAUUCUGUGAAAGGAGCGGGGGAUGCUGGUCACCAGCAGCGUGCCC